UGGGUUUCCAUGCUCUGCCCUCUUGAAGCCCUGACUGUGACAUUGCAGUGUCACCCCUGGUUCACUUGUAGUCUAGACGUAUCAGCUCAUUGUCUCUAGGAAGGCUCCUGUUAGCUGCAAGUCUCAUUCUGAGUUUUACCUUUUGAAAUCAUUCUCAGUAUACAUCCUGGAGUAGACUCUAGGUGCGCUGGGUGCAAUUGGGAAGGCCUCUGAUUUAUUAGUGGAGAUAGAGGAUGAGAAACAAUAGUGGGCUGGAGAAAGGGGGUUGCUGAGAUGGAGGGAAACUGCCUGGAAACUCAGAGAGGAUAGAGAUGAAAACAAGCAGCAUGUACUGAAUAUGCACAAAGGGGUUUUAAUCUAUCCUGUACCGUGGAAAGGUGAGCUCCUGCAAACAGUGAUAGUUUCUUUCCCUAAGAUAAGUUCCCUUUUUUUUUAAUUGAGAGUUUAACAGCAUUUCUAAAGGAAAUAUUGUCCUAUAAACUGGAGGAGGGCCAAAUUAGGAUUCCAACAGGAAAAAGUUAAAGCAAAAGGUUUAACUGGAAAGAAUAUAAUGAAAGGACUAUUUACAAAGGUACGGACAGGGCUAAAGGGGACCACAAGGGAUGAUGAGGCAGCCUGAGACCAGCAACAGUUGCAGUCUGAGAGCACCCUGUGCUGGGGAUGCAGAUCUAGUCUCUUCUGUCCUCUGCAGAGUGAUGCUGGAGCUAGGACUCUGCACAGCACACAUCUGCUUUGUCAGCAGCCUCCCGCUAGUCCCUGCCAAGAGGAGACACUGGAGGGCUGGAAGGGGGAGAUAGCACUUCCCAUUUACUACCUGUUUACUUUCUUGUUUGUGACAUCACCACAGCAAGUGUUCUUUCCCUUGGCAGCAAGAGUUGAAUCCAUUAACAGUACUCAGCUCCAAUCUGUAAACCUGUGCUCCUAAAGUCUGCCUGAUGGUGCCUCUACAGACUUACCAACACCAGUGGUCCAGCAUCUGCUCCUCAGAGAUGCACAAAGAAGAGUGUACAUGAGGACACAGUGAGAAGGCGUCCAUCGGCAAGACAAGAGCUCUCAUCAGAAACCAAAUCUGUCAGCACUUUGAUUUGGGACUUCUAGCCUCUGGAACUGUGAAAAAAUAAAUCUCUGUUGUUUAAGCCACCCAAGCUAUGAUAUUUUGUUACGGCAGCCUAAGCAGGUACACAAUGCAACAGAAAAAUGGGCAAGAGAUGCAAAACAAACCACAAUGAGAUACCACUGCACAUCUGCCACUACAAUUAAGAAAGACUAAAAAACAAUUGGAAAGGACGUAGAACAACAGGAAUUCUCAUCUAGAUUUUACUAUUAGGUUUCUGAGGUUCAUCUCCAUCUGUUUAUUACUAUAGUGUUAAUUUUCAUUCCAUUGCAUGUAAGUUGCUACAACUACUUUCAGAAAGAGUUUAGCAUUUGAUCCAGUGAGUCUACUCCUAGGUGUACAAAAAGCAGAUAUGUGUUCGCAUAGCUACCCAAACACACGCACAGGUAUGUUCAUGGCAUUGUUCGUAAUCGCUAAAAAAGAGAAACAAAUGUCCAUCAACAGUGGAAUAGAUACCUAAAUUGUGGUACAUUCAUAAAAAGGAAUAUUGUACAAUAAAAAUUAAUGAAUCAAUUAUACACAGAAACACAGGUGAAUCUGUCAAACCUCAUGUUUUGAGUGAAAAACACCAGGCAUAAAAGACUAUAUAUUGUUUGAUUCCCAUUUUAUAUAAGCUUCAAAACCAGGCAAACUAAAUUGUAGUGUUAGAAAUCAGGAUAGUGGUUACAUUUAGGGAAGAUGGAGGAGUUACUGAUUGGAAGCAAAUAUGAGGAGACUGGGAGAGUUGGCUGAGGUUCUGUUUCUUGACUUGUGUGAUGGUUGCAGUGGUGUUCACGUUGUGAUCAUUCGUUGAACUUUACAUUUCUGUUUUGUUAUGAUUUUUUUAUGUUAUGUUUCCCAAUUUUAAAAAAAGUUUAAAAUAUGUUGGUAUCUUCUACUAAGGAAAGUGUUUUCAAUGAGGAAGAGUUAAGCAUCCAGAGUAAAUUUUCAAAUCUCCAAUUUGCUUAUGGGUAGGUUUAUGGGUUGCUUAACUGCUACUCAUUUUUGUUUUUCGUUUAUCAAUAUUCAAAUACCGAAUAUAUGUUUAGUGCACAACUGAAGAUCAUGUAGCAUAAUAACAGCUUUAUAAGUAAAAGGAUGAAAUCAACCCACCAGAUUUUUUUGGAGUUGCUACCGCCAUUGACCUAAUCCUAAUUCCAAUGAAAAAAAAGUAGCCUUUCCCCCCAUUGUGGGACACGUGAUAGUGCAGACUUAUGGGUCACUUCUCACACACCUUUGGUCCUUAUUUUAGAGAAGCAGAACACUGCUGGGUUCCUUAGGGGCAAGGUCUAGACUUGCACACUUGAACCUUGCACUCUCUCUGAAGAGCCAACAAAUAAGUGAAGGAUCCUUUAAAAAACAGAAACAUACGGAAGUGUGGCAGAGAGUGGCUAUUUAAUCAAACCUAUUUUGUCUUGUUCCUAGGCAGCAGAAUGAGACUACUUGAUCUGCCUCCUUUCUAUUUCCUUUGUAGUUAGGAGUUCCCAUGUGGAGAGGGAAGCACCAAGACCCUCCAGAGAGUUUGGAGGAGGGAGUGAUAAAUUAAUUCAGAGAGUACCCACUGAUUCUUAGAUCAUAAAACUUUUUCCAAUUUCCUUCCCACUGGUUUGCAUUGACCAUGGCUCAGCAUAGAUUUAAGGUAAAAGCAUACUGCCCUUAAGAUAUUGUUGGCCUUUAAUAGCUGAUAGGAGAUGCUGAGAGUUCAGAGUUCAGAGAGCAGGACAGUCUCUACAGAAUUUUGCCUGAUGAAAACAGAAACUAAAUGACUU
rnacentral:lncRNA from 1 species